UGUACAAAGGUGCCUGCACUUUGCAGGAGAAUAGGAAAGAUGAGUGGAAAUCUCACACGGUCACGCCGCUGUAAUGGAAGAGCUGUAUUUUAAAAUGUCACUGGUUUUUUUCCGGGAAGGCAAAAUAUGGCGAUGAUGCCUGAGUCAGAAGACCUGCCUUGUACA
rnacentral:ncRNA from 1 species